rfam:Triticum aestivum genome assembly, contig: Triticum_aestivum_CS42_TGACv1_scaffold_404825_5BL
AUAAUACUCCCUCCGUCCGGAAUUACUUGUCAUCAAAAUGGAUGUGUCUAGAACUAAAAUACAUUUAGAUACAUCCAUUUCAAUGACAAGUAUUUUCGGACGGAGGGAGUAGUAG